CAAUAAGCAAAAGAGAGGGAAAUUAAAUUGCCUCAGCGGAGCGGACAGCCCGGUAAUUAUUCGCUGGCUGCCCCCGCGCUUCGAGCGGGAAACGGCGGCGGCGCCGGAGAUGGCGGGCAUUCCGGGAGCGGCCGGCGGCGGGCACGCGGAGAGGCGAGUUGCGGGCGGCGCAAGGGCGGCGGCGCCGGGCGGUCGAUCUGGGGGGAGCGGUGGCGCGGGUGUGGCGGCGGGGGUCGCGCAGGAUGGAGGCUCCUCGGUGGAUGGCGGCGCGCAAGGCCGUGCCUCAGUGGGGAGGCAUCACCGGAGUUCUGUUCCAGAUGAAAGGGAGCCAAAACUAGGUCGUGUGAGUGCUUAUGAGAAAUCGUUGAAAAAGUAUGUUGAUAAGAAGUCCAAUGUUGUCAUCAAUCCAGAAGUAGGCAUGUCUUUCGACCAUGGUUCUUAAGGCGUCGCCUAGGCGUCGCCUAGUCGUCCAGGCGCUCAAAAAUCCAAGGCGUCCGCCGACGCCAUGCCAAAAGAGAAGCAAACUGAGAGGGAGGGUGAGGGAGGAGGGAGAGGAAGAGGAGGGGAAGGAUUUCGACGAUCUGCGGGGGAAGGGGAACAAGAGGGAGGGGGUGGCGGCCUACCUGAGCAUGGUGAGGAAGGUGGGAGAGGGAGCGCCGACGAGCUUCGGCGGCGCGAGGGCCUAGCGAUGGCGCGCGGGUCCGGUAGUGGUGUCGCGCGGGGCCGGCGGCGGCGUCUGGCGGAGCAGCAAGGGCGGGCCGGCGGCGCGAAGGGAGAGGGAGAGCUGAGAGGGCAGAGGGCUGGGCAGAGGGCAACGGCGGCGCGGAUGAGGAGCUCAUCGAGUGGGAGAGGGUUCUGGAGGGUGGAGAUGCUAUUGUUGGGCUGGGCCUAACUGUUGGGCUGGGCAGCAGCCUGUACCUUGCCCUCUUCUUUGCCUUUUUUACUCUUUUUAUUUCCUAUUUCUUUUCAUUUCCUCCCUGUGGCAUAUGGGUAAGGCGUCGCCUUGCUCGCCUAGGCGUCCGCCUAGGCGUCGCCUCGUCUUGCAGACGGGGUCGCUCGCCGUGCCUCGCCUUAACGCUUUAAGAACUAUGCUUUCGACUCCUGUGCUGAUGCAUAUGACUUCUGCAACCUGUAUUCCUGGGAGCUGCGGUUUGGAAUACGAUGGAAUAACAGCACUAAGAAUGCAGAGGAAAGUGUUAUGGUGCAAGAGAUAGUCUGCAGCUGCGAGGGCAAACAAGAGCUGUCCAGCGCUGCAUCAGUGAGAACUGAUUGCAAGGCUAGGAUACAGCUACACAAAUCUGAUGACAAUGGAUGGUACAUCCUGGAACUCCGAGGUCAUCACAAUCAUCCCCUCUUUGGGGCAUGCAGUGAAAGCUUGAUUUGGUCUUCUCACAAAUAUCUCGAGCCCUACACUAAGGAUAUGGUACGCCAUCUUAGGGAUAGCAAUGUUGACCUUAGGAAAAUGCACUAUGUCAUUUGCAGCUUUUUCCGGGGCCAUGAAGAAAGUCCUGUUCAAUAAGCGGGCUUUGCAGUCGUUAUGUGACUCUAUAGCCAAGGAACUCACAGAAGAUUAUAUAUGCAAGGCUAUUGAGUUGUUUGAUGACUUUGGUUCGUUGAGGAGGGAUGAUCCAAGCUUCCAAUUUCGUGUUGAGUUUGAUUAUACUACGAGCCAGUUUAAGACAGUGUUAUGGACGAAUGGGCGUAGCAGGAUGCAAUAUGCACAGUUCGGUGAUGCUAUAACAUUUGAUACAACAUAUAGAAGUAAGCUGUAUGACAUGCCUUUUGGCUUGUUUGUUGGUGUUAAUAAUCAUUACCAAAGUGUCAUACUAGGAGGAGUGCUGAUGCGACAUGAGACAGUUGAAAGUUUCAAAUGGGUGUUCCAUGAGUUUGUUACUUUAAUGGGGGGUAAAGCUCCAAGUACUAUUCUCACAGGCCAAUGUAAUGUGAUGGAGGUUGCAAUCCAGGAGGUGCUACCAGAUACGACUCACAGAUGGUGUAAGGUGCAUGUGCUGAGCAAGGAGAAUGAAUUCCUUGGGCCGAUUUGCUCAAAGAAGAGUGGAUUUAAGGAUGACUUCCAAAAGAUCACUGAUAGCAUGUUGACAGUUAGAGAGUUCGAGUCUGCUUGGAAGCAUCUUCUAGAUAAGUACAACUUGCAUGGCAAUGCAUUCCUUUCUCAGAUUUAUGAUUCUCGACAUAAAUGGGCGAAGCCAUACUUCAAAGGGAAGUUCUGUGCCAAACAGACUAGUAUGCAAAGAAAUGAGUGUGCGGACUACAUGUUUAAGGGUUAUGUGCCACAGAAUAGAUCUAUCAACAUGUUUGUAUGACACUACAACAAGCUCCAAUCUUAUCUUGAUUCAAAGGAAAGCUUCGAGGAGAGUAGGAGUGCGAAGAGGCCCAGAGUUAUGAGCAAGGGAGUUCCAGUUGAAGAGCAUGCUGCAAAGAUCUAUACAAGGGCUAUGUUUGAAAAUUUUGACGAAAUAAUUUUCCAGUCUGGUUCUUAUGUGGUGGAUGAAAAGGAGAGAGGGAAGACAUAUUUAGCAAGGCACAUCAGGAGUGACUGCCGGGAGAGUUGGUCACAGGUGGAGUUUGAAGUUACCAUUAGGGCUGAAGAUGGUGCGGUUGUUUGUGAGUGUGGAUUGGGGGAGCACUUGGGGAUGCCUUGCUGCCAUGCUGUGAAGGUGAUGAUACACUUGGGAAUGCUAGAGAUUCCAGCUGGAAAUAUUGUGGAGCGUUGGACGAUGCAUGCAAGGGAUAAUUUGCCAGCUCACAUGAUUGAGCUUGAGAAUGAUAAGGCAGCAGAGAGCUCACUGUGGUAUAUACAGUCAGAGUUCUUCUUCCAUGCCUUGGAGUUUAUGAAGUCUUGUCGGGCUUUUGAAGUAGUAGGGUUGGCAGAUCUGGUUCAACUUAAGCAGGAACUUCUGGAGCUGAAUCAAGUUAAGGAUGUUUCUGUGUUGUCCGAACAGUGCAGCCAUCCUGCCGCCCAAGGUUCUAAUGUGCAAGGCAUGUCUGCUGCAGCUAUAGAUGAUGCUAUCUCGGCAGCUAAGAAACAGAAAUAUGAAGCAGAGGCACCUGAUCUUAAAUGCAAGAUGGUGCAGCGUACCUAGGCAAAAGGGCCCCAAUAGAUGUCAAAUCUUUGUGGGGUUUGUACAUAGGGAAGGUAGUAACUUGCAACUUGUCGAGGAACAAUGUGAGUGGUGGGUGUUUGGUUGGUGCCUUGGUGGCUGGUAGUGUUACAUUUUGCACUGGGAUUGCAUCUUGGCAAAUAGUUAUGUAAGAUAACUGAAUUCCGGUGGUUGUGGGCUCGUGUGGCAGCUCGGUAGGAACUAGGAACUUAGUGAGACGAUGGACCUUUUCUUUUGCUCAUGUCUUGUAAAAUGUCAGCAACGCCGAAUCCUGGCAGUGCUAAGCUGCAUGGCAUGCUAAACCAUGUUAUCGUUGUCAUGCUUCGGUCUGUGUAAGCUGCCAUCCACUUCUGAUGUGCGCAUUCGGUACUGUGGACAUACGAUUUGUGGA